UGAUCCUAACCAUACUGUUCUGAUUCUACUCCUUUAACCUAGUCACACUGUCGUUCUGAUCCUAACCAUACUGUUCUGAUUCUACUCCUUUAACCUUGUCACACUGUCGUUCUGAUCCUAACCAUACUGUUCUGAUUCUACUCCUUUAACCUAGUCACACUGUCGUUCUGAUCCUAACCAUACUGUUCUGGUUCUACUCCUUUAACCUAGUCACACCGUCGUUCUGAUCCUAACCAUACUGUUCUGAUUCUACUCCUUUAACCUAGUCACACUGUCGUUCUGAUCCUAACCAUACUGUUCUGAUUCUACUCCUUUAACCUAGUCACACCGUCGUUCUGAUCCUAACCAUACUGUUCUGAUUCUACUCCGUAGUGUGAAAAGGACUGUUUUUUCAUCUUUGCCUUGUAACCAGAGAUUGAUUUGUCGCUGGGAAACUAGGUGUGUGCACACGUCAGCCAAUCAUUAGUUGAUCAUAAGUACCAGGGAGAAACACUAACCUAGCAGGACUGUGGAUGUCGAGGGCCUGAGUUUAUGCACCCUUGAUCAAGACAAUCAACUGUUACUGUAUUUCUCAGUGUUGAGUUUACCCAGGUCAACUGUUAGUGUAUUUCUCAGUGUUGAGUUUACCCAGGUCAACUGGCUAACUCAUUGAUCCUGCCUGGUAGGUUUACCACCCAGCUCUGCCCAUUCAUGUCAUUAGAUAUAAACUGGGAUUUCUGAGUGCUCUGCACAGCUAUACCCAUCAAGGCAAAGCUAGUAGCUGCAAUGGAGACUGCAGAGAGAACAGAACCCUCCACAGUUACAACUGGGACGUAGACUUCUCAAUGAUUGUACAAACAUCAUCAUGGCAACAGAACGUGACUUAGGCCUUAUUGGUAACUGUAAUGAAUUAACAAAUGUAAUGAUUUAAUACCAGACAUGUACCCAGUUACAGUCCUCUUCCACUGCUUUUCCAUUUAAGUGUUUGAAAUUAGUAUUUGAAAAAAAUACAAAUUCUAAUUCAUAUGAAAAAGGGAAUCCAAAAGUAGUGACAAUUCCAAAACAUGUUUACGACCCUGUUAUUACAUGGUAAUUACAAAGCUUAUUUCAUUGGUAGUUAAUAUGGUAUAACAAGGCGAAGCCUAUGGUGUCAAGCGUGGCCGGAAACAUUACUGUACUAGAAGGAUUGGUACACUUGCAGUCCCGCAGUCAAACACACUCCAGGUCAGGGAUGGGCAACUCCAGUCCUCGAGGGCCUGAUUGAUUGGAGUUUCCCAUCCCUACUCCAGGGGAAUGGAGUUACCCAUACCUGCUCCAGGGGAAUGGAGUUACCCAUCCCUGCUCCAGGGGAAUGGAGUUACCCCUCCCUGCUCCCCUCCCUGCUCCAGGGGAAUAGAGUUACCCAUCCCUGCUCCAGGGGAAUAGAGUUACCCAUCCCUGCUCCAGGGGAAUAGAGUUGCCCAUCCCUGCUCCAGGGGAAUGGAGUUACCCCUCCCUGCUCCCCUCCCUGCUCCAGGGGAAUAGAGUUACCCAUCCCUGCUCCAGGGGACUGGAGUUACCCCUCCCUGCUCCAGGGGAAUAGAGUUGCCCAUCCCUGCUCCAGGGGAAUGGAGUUGCCCAUCCCUGCUCCAGGGGAAUAGAGUUGCCGAUCCCUGCUCCAGGGGAAUGGAGUUACCCAUCCCUGCUCCAGGGGAAUGGAGUUGCCCAUUCAUGCUCCAGGGGAAUACUGUUGCCCAUCCCUGCUCCAGGGGAAUAUAGUUGCCCAUCCCUGCUUCACGGGAAUAGAGUUGCUCAUCCCUGCUCCACGGGAAUAGAGUUGCCCAUCCCUGCUCCAGGGGAAUGGAGUUGCCCCUCCCUGCUCCAGGGGAAUGGAGUUACCCCUCCCUGCUCCAGGGGAAUGGAGUUGCCCAUCCCUGCUCCAGGGGAAUGGAGUUGCCCAUCCCUGCUCCAGGGGAAUAGAGUUGCCCAUCCCUGCUCCAGGGGAAUGGAGUUACCCCUCCCUGCUCCAGGGGAAUAGAGUUGCCCAUCCCUGCUCCAGGGGAAUAGCGUUGCCCAUCCCUGCUCCAGGGGAAUCGAGUUGCCGAUCCCUGCUCCAGGGGAAUGGAGUUACCCAUCCCUGCUCCAGGGGAAUGGAGUUGCCCAUUCAUGCUCCAGGGGAAUACUGUUGCCCAUCCCUGCUCCAGGGGAAUAUAGUUGCCCAUCCCUGCUUCACGGGAAUAGAGUUGCUCAUCCCUGCUCCACGGGAAUAGAGUUGCCCAUCCCUGCUCCAGGGGACUGGAGUUACCCCUCCCUGCUCCAGGGGACUCGAGUUGCCCAUUCAUGCUCCAGGGGAAUAGAGUUGCACAUCCCUGCUCCAGGGGAAUAGAGUUGCACAUCCCUGCUUCACGGGAAUAGAGUUGCACAUCCCUGCUCCAGGGGAAUAGAGUUGCCCAUCCCUGCUCCAGGGGACUGGAGUUGCCCAUCCCUGCUCCAGGGGAAUGGAGUUGCCCAUUCAUGCUCCAAGGGAAUAGAGUUGCCCAUCCCUGCUCCAGGGGAAUGGAGUUGCCCAUCCCUGCUCCAGGGGAAUGGAGUUGCCCAUCCCUGCUCCAGGGGAAUGGAGUUGCCCAUCCCUGCUCUAGGAGAAUGGAUGACAAAAAGUGAGGGAGACUGAAAGACAGAUACACAGUCCAGGGUUCACUAAGGCCUGAGGGUCAAGGACACACCCUGAGAUAGAUGAACUGCAGGAAGGCUGGGUUGUAGUCAUUAGGGCACAGCGUAGCAAAACGUUUUGCAACUAAAAACAAUUGUUUCUUAUUGUUCUGGUAUCCGUCCCUGUUUCAGUCAGUUUCCUUCUGUUUGGUGCAUAGUAAACACUACCCUGUUGAGACAGUGAGACGUCACAUUGGCAUAGAUUCCACACCCCAGACAAUCAAGGCAGCUUUGUGUUUGUUUUUGUGUGUGAGUUUAUUACAGCACAAUCUUACCAACGCCAAAGAGGUUUGCAUGCAGUGUUUUACUGUAUAUUGUGAAAAAGCUUGUGCUAUUAUGCUGCAAUUUCAGCUUAGCUUGAUCCAUGUUGAGGAUGGGUUUGCAUGGACACCACCUUGGCCUUGUUAGCUCCCUAGGAACUGUGAUUAUGUAUGUAUGCCUCUGACUGAAUCAAUGUCAGUGUAAAACUGAGUGUGUGUGUGUGUCUGUCUGUCAGAAUAUAUAUAUAUAUAUGAGUUGUUUUGAAAGAUGUCAUACCUCAAGUAUGUAUGUGUUGUUGUCAAAUGAGAGGAUUGUACUGUAU
rnacentral:lncRNA from 1 species